rnacentral:rRNA from 1 species
AACGAACGCUGGCGGCGCGCCUAAUACAUGCAAGUCGAGCGAGAAGACGUAGCAAUACGUUUGUAAAGCGGCGAACGGGUGAGGAAUACAUGGGUAACCUACCCUCGAGUGGGGAAUAACUAGCCGAAAGGUUAGCUAAUACCGCGUACGCUCCUUGGACUUCGGUUCAGGGAGGAAAGCGAUACCGUGGGUAUCGCGCUCUUGGAUGGGCUCAUGUCCUAUCAGCUUGUUGGNGAGGUAACGGCUCACCAAGGCUUCGACGGGUAGCUGGUCUGAGAGGACGAUCAGCCACACUGGCACUGCGACACGGGCCAGACUCCUACGGGAGGCAGCAGUAAGGAAUAUUGCGCAAUGGGCGAAAGCCUGACGCAGCGACGCCGCGUGGGGGAUGAAGGUCUUCGGAUUGUAAACCCCUUUCGGGAGGGAAGAUGGAACGAGCAAUCGUUCGGACGGUACCUCCAGAAGCAGCCACGGCUAACUUCGUGCCAGCAGCCGCCGUAAC